CAACUAAGCCCUUUGGGCAUGGAGAAGACAAAACAGUACUUCCAGCUCCAGCUUGCAAACAGAUGUAUGAUGAGUCUUUACUGUACCAAAAAUUGAGCUGUUGAUUUUAAACGCCUGGGACAGAGUGCCUGGGAAAUGAGAGUGCCAUGUGCUGAAUGGCUGAGCCGCCUCUUCUUGGGAAGGCCCUCCGGGAGUCAGCUGACAGUAGGACCAGCAACUUUAUAACUACACAGAGAACAAAGCAAAUUUAACUUAUGAAGACAGUUGUGUCUAGUCCAGCAAGAAACAAACUCCAAGAAGCAUUUUGCUGCAGGCCUAAAGAGGCUUGUGAUUGGCGAGCUGCAAGGGAAGAAAAAGCACUAUCUUGCUGCGCAGAGCGGUGUGCCCUACUUCCAGAACAUGGUUGCCUUUUUAUCAUGCAAGAAGGUCUAUUUCAUACUCUUCUCAAGCUCUUUGUUUCUCCAUUCAGAUGACUAGUACACUGUUGACAAAACUGAAUUUUGUUACUAUUUCUGAAUCCUCCAGGUAUUUCUUUUCCUAGCUUUCAGCUCCUCAGUCCAUGAGAAUUUGAAAAAAAAAAGAAAAAGAAAAAGAAAAAAGAAUCUCAGAAUGAUGGAAAUUAGACUUGUUGUAAUUCUGUAUAUUACAAAACUGUGUUUGUUCAUAGCCUGUAUGUAAUAUCCUAGUUCAAGUAAUUUUUGUCAAAAAGGUUAGGAUGAGGAACUUGUAUCUGAAAUGUUGAACCAUUGUACUGGUGAAAAUUUACCAAGAGAAGGAAUGAGGAAAGACCUUAUCUCUCAUAUUUUACUACUGAUUAUUAAUGAGUAUAAGCUUCUCCCAGUAUAUGUCUUCAUGCCUAUAUGCAUUCAUCAGAGUUUUCAGCAAUUUUUUUUUUUAAGUGUUAAAAGAUUUAGCUAAAAUGAAUAUUAAAAGAUUGCUAAUAUAUUCAGAACAGUUUUGAUGACCAAAGUGGUUUGGACCUCAUGCUUUAAAAUUGGCAUUUCAUUACUAGAAUAUUUCUGAGCGUCUCAUCCAAACAUACUCAGAUUUUUUCAGGGGCAAAUGUUAAAAACAAGUACCUAAGUCUUAAGGACUAGCAAUGAGACUGAGAUUCUGAAAAAAGUAAAGGCCAGAUCUGUAAAGAUAUCUGGUAUUUUCCAUUAAUUCUUCUAACAAUGUGGGCCAAGUUCAUUUGUGAAAGUGAUGUUUAAAGAGAACAAAAAAAUUAUAUCCAUUAUGUCUGAAUCUUUCUUUGAGUAUUUUUGAGAUCAUAGCAGUGCAAUAGAAGACAAAAAUAGUGAUUUUACAAAUCUGUUGUGAAAAAUCCAAAUUGUAGUAAAUAUGAACUGAUAAUUUCUGGUUUCUUAUUCUUGCUGGUGAUACUGCAGAAGACAACGGAACAGUCCUAAUUUCUUAAAAUUUCUUACAUAACUCUUUUUCAGUAAUCCCUACUAAUAGGUAUUGUGGUUAGAAAUUUACUAUAAAACUUAAAACAUAGCUUUAUAACUAUUUGAGGCUUUUUGUAAGUAUUUUUCAUGUCCACUAAUUCACCACUGACUUCAUCAACUCAUACCUUUUCCACUUCAGAUACUAAACUGAAAAAACAUUACAUCUUAGUUGCUGAUCUUACAGCACCUCUAAACAGCUCCACCCAGUGCUACUAGGUAGUCCAGUAACUAAAACAGUCAUGCUAGCAGCUGAUGUAUAACAUAUACUUGUAAUAAUUUUUCUCAGCAUAUGAUUUCAUGCUAUUUAGGUCUGUGCAAACAAUAAAGGCAUAAGGGUUUUCACCCUUGGCUGAAAGCUGGGAAUUACAAAAGUACUCUUCAAUGUGUCAUUUUCUGUCUUUGUGAGGAUACAUGUAUUGAUGGAUAGCUGAGAAGGUCAUAGCAACAAAAUAUUGGGUGUGCAUUUUUACAGUGCCUGAAACGUUUAAAAAGCCAAGUAUAUUUUAUAUCAAGCUCUGAAGUAUAAUAUACAAAACUGCUAUGAUCUCUUCAUUGUGGUAAAGUUCUAAGAUUUUGUUUUGUUUCUAGAAGGCUUUGUGUACUUCAGUAAUUCUCAU
ensembl:lncRNA